UGAGUUGGCCAGACAAUCGCUGUUUUCAUGUUACUUGUUAAGAUGAAGGUAGAGGAAAGUCCGGGCUCCAAAGAGCAAGGUGCCAGGUAACGCCUGGGGGGCGUAAGUCCACGGAAAGUGCAGCAGAAAAUAAACCGCCUAAACUGGAUAAUACCAGCUUAGGUAAGGGUGAAAUGGUGCGGUAAGAGCGCACCGCAUGGGUGGUAACAUUCCAUGGCAUGGUAAACCCCGCCUGGAGCAAGACCAAAUAGGAACCCUAUGGUGUGGCUCGCACUGGGUUCGGGUAGGUUGCAUGAGGUUUAUGGUGACAUAGACCCAAGAUGAAUGGUUGUCCACGACAGAACCCGGCUUAUCGGCCGACUCACAUU
rnacentral:RNase_P_RNA from 1 species